UUGCAUUCUUAAACCCUCUUGGCGGCUUUGCUCCGGUGCUUCCAAGAUAUGAGUGAAUGCUAGAGAAAGUGCGGGGGAGUCCAAAGGGCUGCGCUCUUCACGUGGUUCAGCCUUAUUUCAUACCUGCGACAUCU